GCAAUGGCGAUGUGUGAACGUCAGUGUCAGAACUCUAAAGAGUUAAUAGCUCAUCUGAAGAGCCAUAUUGUGGAAGGACACGUGGUCACUUGUCCAGUAAGAGGAUGCACAAAUACCUUUAGAGUUAAAUCAUCUUUUACUGCUCACAUGUCACGUAAACACAGAGUUUUCAGACAGCAGCAUUGGUGAUUUAUAUAGAGAGUCUGCAUGUCAAUCAUCAUCUGUUCCAACCACAUCAGAUGACUUUGUACCCUUGAUUUCCGAGCCUGCUGCACAGUCUAUUACACAUGAAGAUAACAUGGAAAUGCCCCCUGAAUUCUGUGAUCUUUUUCUGAGAAACGUUUCACUAUUCUACUUAAAAUUGCAGGGUCAGUUUCUACUGCCUGCUUCAACCAUACAGAACAUUGUAGAGGAAAUGCAGAACAUGCAUGAGUUGGGACAGACAUACAGUUUGGGUAAACUUGCAUCACUGUUAAAAGAUGACACAUCAUUAUCAGAGGAGGACAUCAACAAAGUCUGUGAGUCUGUCAAAAGCUAUGAUCUUUUUUCUGCAUGUCAUACCGGGCCAUUGAGGACAGUGCACUCCAGAGCUCAGAUCUUUAAAAAAGCCUUCAACUAUGCGGAACCAAAGAAAAUAUUUUUAGGGAGAGAUGAAAACAGAAAAGAUAGGUUUGCCUAUUAUGUGCCUUUAAGAGAGACUUUGAGAUGUCUGCUAGAGUCUGAUCUGUGGCAGAAAUCAGAAGAGCCCUCUACUGAGCCUCCUGCUGAUGUUCUGUGUGACAUAAGUGAUAGUAAGCUGUUUUAAAUAAAAUGAUUUUUUUGGUCAAAACCCAUUGACUUAAUUGAUUUCUAUCCAUUAACAUCUUACAUGAAGUAUGGGUACCAAAUGGUUCCACUGAAACACAGUGUGCUGUCACAAUAAUGGUGCUGUUAGUUUGGUACUUACGAAACACUGUAUAAAAGUGUAGUAUCAAGCAAGAUCAGCUUCAUAUUUUAAGACCAAAGGUACCACUUGGUGUAAAUUGACCUUUAUUCACAUUCUUUUAUCAGACAUCUUGGAAAUGGGGGGCAGCAUAAGGAGUUCCAUUACUAAGGUGCUGCCGGACCUGUCUGCCUCAAUCCUUGAAAUUGUACUGGAGGCACUACAAUCAUUAGGAGUGGAGACAUCUGAGAAACAAACCACACCAAAUAUGGAAAUUUCAAGCCAGGCCAGCAUAUCGUCUCCAUCUGUUUUAAGGUUUAAGGGUGGUGGCACAGCUAAGACCCAAGAGUCUCUUUCAAGACACUGAAUUUGAGCAGAAACCAUAAGGAUACUCAAAGGACCUGUGACUCUCAGGAAAUGCAUCAAAUGAGAGAGACAGAUGAAACAGUUUCAAGACAAUGGCAGGAAAAAAAUGCUGAAGAUUGAAACAAACCUUGGCUGGAAAUAUUUGAAGGUAUCUAGCCAGUCCACAAUGAAAGCUUCGUUGCACCCAAUGAGUCUUCUGGCAGAAAUGAUGGCGGCUGUAUUCUUUGGUUUCCCUAAACAUCACACCCUGCCUGUUUAUACGAGGCUCUUCAAUUAAGUCUGCACCCAAAGAUUCAAUAAGAGAGGGGAUCCUGCCAGUCCAAAGUGAACUCCUGAUGGACAUUGAAGUACUCCUGCAGAGCUUGUAUCUUCAACACCAUGCGCAUUAGAAACUCCACCGAGUCCUUUCCUUCACCAAGGCAGGACCCAGUGACUCAUUACUGUUGAUAGGUCAGGGGCAGGUAAUAUUUUGUUUCAUGUUUAUUCAUUCCUCCAUGGAUUACCAGCCAUAUAUAUGGACACAUGCUGUAUUCUCAA